UAUUAUUUUUGAUGUUAAUUAUUUAACCUGAGUAGUAAUAGAUAUGGUCUUGAAACUUAAAGAAUUUGGCAGUAUUUUAUUCUGUUCAGAGGAACCUGUUCUUUUAUCGAUAAUCCUCGUUGGACCUUACUUAAUUUAUUUGAUUUGUAUACCGCCGUUGUAUUGAGGAUCUUUAUAGUGUUUUAAUUUUCUGGUUUUUAUUUUAAGUUAUUUCAGGUCAAGGUGCAAUUUAUGAUUAAGUGGAAAUGGGUUACUUUUAUAUUUAUUUUUGGAUUUUUAGAUGAAAUUUUAAUAUGAAAUUGGAUUUGAAUGUAAUUGUUAUUUUAGAUUGUAUUGAUGAUUUAGUUUCUAGAAUGUGUACACAUCGCCCGUCGCUCUCGUUAUUUAUUCGAG
rnacentral:rRNA from 1 species